rnacentral:rRNA from 1 species
GUCCACGCCGUAACGAUGGAUACUAGCUGUUGGGAGCAAUCUCAGUGGCUAAGCGAAGUGAUAAGUAUCCCACCUGGGAGUACGUUCGCAAGAAUGAAACUCAAAGGAAUUGACGGGGCCCGCACAAGCGGUGGAGCAUGUGGUUUAAUUCGAUGAUACGCGAGGAACCUUACCAAGGCUUAAAUGUAGAUUGACCGGACUGGAAACAGUUUUCGCAAAGACAAUUUACAAGGUGCUGCAUGGUUGUCGU